rnacentral:rRNA from 1 species
GAUGAACGCUAGCUACAGGCUUAACACAUGCAAGUAGAGGGACGGGCGCAGGGGUGAGUAACACGUAUCCAACCUGCCCUUUACGGGGGGAUAGCCUUUAGCAAGAAAGAUUCAUACCCGAUGGAAAGGAUGGGUAUGAGUUCCAUUAGGUUGUGGGUGAUGUAACGGCUCACCAAGCCUUCGAUGGAUAGGGGUUCUGAGAGGAAGGUCCCCCACAUUGGAACUGAGCCCCGCGCCAAACUCCUACGGGAGGCAGCAGUGAGGAAUAUUUGUCAAUGGGCGUUAGCCUGAACCAGCCAAGUAGCGUGAAGGAUGAAGGCUUAUUGGUCGUAAUCUUCUUUUAUAUAAGAAUAUGUAUUAUAUGAAUAAGGAUCGGCUAACUCCGUGCCAGCAGCCGCGGUAAUUC